CCUACGGGUGGCAGCAGUAGGGAAUAUUGCGCAAUGGGGGAAACUCUGACGCAGCAACGCCGCGUGGAGGAUGAAGGUUUUCGGAUUGUAAACUUCUUUUGUUAGAGAAGAUAAUGACGGUAUCUAAUGAAUAAGCAGCGGCUAACUCCGUGCCAGCAGCCGCCGUAAUACGGAGGGUGCGAGCGUUACUCGGAAUCACUGGGCGGAAAGAGCGCGUAGGCGGGAUAGCAAGUCAGUAGUGAAAUACCAUGGCUCAACCAUAGAACUGCUUUUGAAACUGUUAUUGUGGAGUAUGGGAGAGGUAAGUGGAAUUCUUGGUGUAGGGGUAAAAUCCGUAGAGAUCAGGAGGAAUACUAGUUGCGAAGGCGACCUGCUAGAACAUAACUGACGCUGAUGCGUGAAAGCGUGGGGAGCAAACAGGAUUAGAUACCCCUGUAGUC
rnacentral:rRNA from 1 species